CCUACGGGUGGCAGCAGUGGGGAAUAUUGCGCAAUGGGCGAAAGCCUGACGCAGCGACGCCGCGUGAGGGAUGAAGGUCUUCGGAUCGUAAACCUCUGUCAGCAGGGAAGAACGGUCACUGUGCUAAUCAGCAGUGAAUUGACCGUACCUGCAAAGGAAGCACCGGCUAACUCCGUGCCAGCAGCCGCGGUAAUACGGAGGGUGCGGGCGUUAAUCGGAAUUACUGGGCGUAAAGCGCUCGUAGGCGGUAUGUCAAGUCAAGGGUGAAAUCCCCGCGCUCAACGUGGGAACUGCCUUGGAAACUGGCAAACUGGAGUGUGUGAGAGGAUAGUGGAAUUCCAGGUGUAGGAGUGAAAUGCGUAGAUAUCUGGAGGAACAUCAGUGGCGAAGGCGACUAUCUGGCACAUAACUGACGCUGAGGAGCGAAAGCGUGGGUAGCAAACAGGAUUAGAUACCCCUGUAGUC
rnacentral:rRNA from 1 species